UCCAACUUUAAAGCUAGGUUGUUUUUUUUUUCAAAGAUAUGAGGGACCCUUUUGUCUCUGGUUGAAAAACUAUACAAGGAAACUUCAAUUUCUUCUCCUUCUUAUUACCUCUUUCUCAUGUAUAUAUGUUUUUCAUCAAUUGCUCUAAUUCUUUACUUUCAAGAUCACUUUUUGUUGAAGCAAAAAUCAUCAUCAAUGAAAGAUUAUCAAAUGUCUACUAUUAAUGAAGGUUUUGCUACAGCUUCAGAGAUCGUCUAGAAUAAUUACAUUCUAGUGACCAUUGAUUUCACACAGAGGAGAUACUAAUGGUCAUCCAGGUCUUAAUUUGUUCUGCUAAGGUGGCUGAGAAGAAGUCUCGUGUCUGGAUUAGAAAGGCCUUGUCGUAAUUCAAAUUGUUGCCAACGCGUUCAUAGUUUGGUUGUGUUGUGGUUUGGGUUGAUAUGGUAAUGGUUGGGCGGUAGCAAGUUUUGGUGGAGCGGGUAGGUUUGGUGUGAAUGUUUGGUCGGGAUAAAAAUGAAUUUGUUUUUAUGGCGUUUGAAAGUUUAUGUUUGGCUUAAGUAAUUCUUGUGUGUAUUGUUAUGAGUAUGGGUUGGUGGCUAAUGUUUGCUACUGAUAGUAAGGGGUAUACCCUUGUUUUUGUGAUUGAGUGUUUGACAUUCUUGUGUGUAUUGUUAUGAGUAUGGGUUGGUGGCUAAUGUUUGUUGUUGGUAGUAAAGGGUAUAUAUACUCUUGAUUUUAUGAUUGAGUGUUUGACAUGUAUUUGUUUUGGGCGUUAACGAAAGGUUGUUGUGUGGUUUGGUAAUUUUGUUGAGUUGGGAUACGAGUGUAAGUUUUUGUUGGUUGUGUUGGACGUUUGGUGACGAUGGUUGUUCACAUGGGUCUACUAAGUAUCAAGGCUCGGACACAAAGCCAAUUGUAAUUUAUCUAUUUCAUGUCAUGUAUGGAAGACUUGGUUUACAUUCGUUUGACAUGACAUAGUCAGUUAUGAAAAAGUUGCGAAGAUUCCUCCAUUGACGACACUCUGUCUCGGUGAAGUCUUUCCAACUGUCUAAUGGUCAUUGGUCUAACAUGUUACUUCCUCUCAACGAAUAUAAGAUAUUUUGAUGCAUGCCAAACUGUAGUUUAACACGAACACUAUGGUGCAUUCCCACAAUAGUGAACAUGAUAAUUGGUGUUGUUGUAGUAUAGAUGGUUUGCAUUGUCUCCAUUCAUUGCAUAAGCAUCUUUUAGAGUGAGAUUUGACCUCCAAAUAAACUGAUGCAUCAAAUGUAUUUGUGAGUUUACUAAAAAUAAAAUAUUAAAAAUGUAUUACGUAAUGAAUAGUUUAGUAGUGAUACAUCAUUUGGUCCUAGGUAAUUUAUGAAUUAUCCAUAAGCCACGAUACAAUUGUGAGGACAUCUUUCAUAAUCCGUCACAUAGGCGGACCACUUAGGGAUGGGCAAUUAGACUCAUUCCUAGUGGGUACCCUCACAAAUUAUCCACUACGGAUAGGGUAAAAACUCGCAAAAUGGUACGAAUAUGGGCACGAGAAAUUAUCCACCAAAAUAAGCGGUUAUGGGCGCGGGUAUGAGUUCCUUAGUAUCCACUCCGCCUCACACCCGCACAAUAUUUUUUUAUUUUUUUAUUAUGUACAGAUGUUAAUUUAUCAAUUUUAUUAAAUAGAUUACUAUUAAAUUUAUACAUAUUUUAAUAUAAAUGCUUAUUUAUUUCUUAACUCAAAAAUAACAUUCUUGAAUUUUUAUUAAUUUUGUUAAAAACUUAAAAUGAUAUAAUAAAUUAUAAUUGAUUGGGUAUGGGUACGGGUACUAUUAAUUUUAUUAAUUUAGAAAUGCAGGUAAACGGGUAUGGGUACGGGUACGACUAUAAUGUUGGUACCCACACGGAUAUGGGCUCGGGUAUGUGGAUUCUUCAUUUUGUGGGUAUGCGGAUGAGUACUAUAUUACUCUGUCCAACCCCUACCCAUUGUCAUCCCUACCACCUAAAACAAAUUUAAAAAAU